rnacentral:rRNA from 1 species
AUUGAACUUGGCGGCGUGCUAACACAUGCAAGUCGAGCGGUAACAGUGUGCAAUACAUGCUGACGAGCGGCGAACGGGUGAUAUGCUUCGGAAUCUCCCUUAUGGUGGGGAAUAACUAGCCGAAAGGUUAGCUAAUACCGCAUACGUCUACGGGAGAAAGCAGGGGAUCGCAAGACCUUGCGCCAAAAGAUGAGCCGAAGUCGGAUUAGCUAGUUGGUAGGGUAACGGCCUACCAAGGCGACGAUCCGUAGCUGGUCUGAGAGGACGACCAGCCACACUGGGACUGAGACACGGCCCAGACUCCUACGGGAGGCAGCAGUGGGGAAUAUUGGACAAUGGGGGAAACCCUGAUCCAGCGACGCCGCGUGUGUGAAGAAGGCUGCGGGUUGUAAAGCACUUUUAGUGGGGAUGAAAUGUGCAGGGCUAACACCUCUGCAUUUUGACCUAACCCACAGAAAAAGCACCGCUAA